rnacentral:lncRNA from 1 species
UAACGAUGGUUAAGAAACCCUAUUACUGCCCUGGAAACCCUAAUUUCAGUUCCGGAAAUUCAAAACCCUAAUUCAGAAGUUGAAAACCCUAAUUUAGGGGCUUAAAGGCUUAAGUGUAUUAAUUACAAACCUAAUUAGGGAUAACCUUAAUUGAUUAUUAGAAAACCCUAAUUUCUGGAUUAGAAACCCUAAUCUAUAAUUAAGGAAAACCUAAUUGUUAAUUUAAUAAUUUUAAUGUUAAUUAAAAAAUAUUGAUCCUAAUUAACAAGCCCUAAUGUGAUUAGGGAAUCUUUAAUAUAAUUAGGAAACCCUAAUUAUAAUUUAGAAAUCUUAAUUUUCUAUUUUUUUUUAAAAUAAUAAUUUUAAUAACCUUAGGGUUAAACCCUAAGGGUCUGUUUGCACAAGUUACUAGAAUGCCCUUAAAAAUGUAUGCAAAAAGUCUAAAAAGCCCUUUGUUGCAUUAUUGAAGGUAGCUUGCAAUUAUUGCCAUAUAAGGGAGUUGGUGGCCAACCUAGAUCAGUCCAUGUGUCUUAAAAUCUCCAACAUUAGCCUCUUUACAUCAGCCACAUUAUUGAAUCAAAUUAUUUAUAGAUCAAAGAGAGAAAAAGUCAACAAAUCUUGAUCACUUGCUAUUUUAUACUCAACAAACUCUCUCUCUCUCUCUAGACCCACGAAAUCAAUUAGUAAUUCAGUCCCUAGAAUGAUACAUAUCAUCUCAAGAACAGAUCAUGAUGAUCAAAUUCAAGGAUCAAAGCCUAAAGAGGUAUAAACCCUAAAUUUGCUAAAACUUGUUAGAUGUUAUGAUUUAUUAUUUUAAGUUGUAUUUUAGGAUGUUAUUUAGUGAUAUGGGUUGUUACAUCUUAGAUCCAUAACAUCAAAGUGCUCGAAAAUCAAAUUUUCAAAAACCUAAAAAAGUUGUCUGACAACCUAAUGUCAGGGCUGCUAGAUUAGUGUGUGUUAGGUGUUAUGUGUGUUUUAUGUUAUGGAUCUGUUCUAUGCCAUGUAGUCUUUGAUCUGAAACUUGAAUCAGGGUUAGAUCGUCUCUAGAUUUCAUGUUAUAAGCGGUCAAACCUCGUUGACCGGUAACGAAAUUUGCUUUCUGAGCAGCCUAGAAAUUUCCAGGUAGCUCUGAGAAGUUGUUUAUGGCUUUUGAUCUUGCAACUGUUAAGGUUAAUGUCCAUAUUUGUGUAUAUAUCUUGUAGUCUGACAUUAAUACUACACAUCUAAGCCCUUAUACCAACCAGAUCUUGCACAUGAUCAAAGAUAUGACUGGUCAAACAUAGGUUGACCAAACUGCUCAAGAACAUUUCUAGAAAACCGAGAAAUGUUCAAGAGCAAGUUUUCUGACAUGGUUUGACAAUGCCAUAUCUUGCACAUGUGAUGAUAUUAUGAUGGUCUGUUGAUACAGAGUUUUUCUUUGACAUCUCUACUACAUGUUGGAACCUUUAAGGCACACUAAGUAUACCGAGAUUACAAGAUAUGUAGAUCCAAAGUAGGUACCAGGAAUUAUUCUUCAUUUCUAGGUAACCCAGAAAUGAAGAACAUGUCUGACACGAUAUUUGUAUCCUUGUAUCGUUUUGAUGUGUUGUUGUAUGGACCUGAAAUUGGCUGGUUAUUGUAGUAUGACAUCGAUACUACAUGUUUAACACAUCAAACGGCCCAGAAACAUAAACAACAAAGAAUUUACCACUGGUCAAACUAGCCACCUAGUUAAUUGCCAUGAAUUUCUGGGUUUUGGCUCAAGAACACGAAGAACAC